rnacentral:misc_RNA from 1 species
GUCGACUUAUAGUAGCCUGAGCAGCCCCGAAAGUCAAAGUCAAUCGGCACACGACAGCUUGUCUGCCGCGACGACGGUUAACGGCGGCGGUUCGUGCGCGCAGCAGGCUGCGCGUCAACCGCCGCUUCCGCGCAUCAACAACUCGAACAAUAACAAUAAUCAAGUUCAACAAAAUGUAGUGCUGACGAUGAACGGUAGUGCAGUGAUUACGCAGCAGCAACAACAGCAGCAGCAACAAGCGAUUACGGUACCACGUGGAUGGAAAAGGAUAUGCACCAACGGGGUCAUCAUUUAUAUCAGAAGGUAGGAAGCAUUUGGCCGGACAUAAAGAAAGAAAGGGAGCAAGUAAGCAGCCGAGUCUAGUCGGAUAUAACAGGCACUGGAAACGGAGGAAAACGACGCCGCGGCGCGUUUGUGCGUUCUCAGCGGCAGACCAAGCAUUGAUGCAAGCGAGCCACCAUGCAAUAACAGUAAAACAGCAAUAUUGUUUUCUUGCGAGCGUAUUCGCUCGGAAUGCACGCUCCGAAUCACAUAUACAUACAGUCUGCUGGCCAUAAGUAUUUGGACACUUUCGCAUUUUUGUAAACGCAGGUAGUUUUCCAUUUACGAACCUUUUGUAUCGGAAUUUUUCUUUUAAAUUGCGCCCGGCGAAAGUGAUUAGAAACGCCUUUCCUUCUUUUUUUUUCUUUUAAAAGGAAAAUGAUGUAUCCAAGCUACCUAAUGUAUCUUCUGCUAUCUGGACGGCUACUGAUUUUUAAGAUAGCAAUAUUUGAAGACGAAUAAAAAUUGAGA